AGCAAAACUCAAGAAGACAAUGGUGACAAAGAAGGAUAAGCCGCGCUAUAACAUGCCAAACAAAGGCAAUAGCAACAAUGUUCAAGAAUAUGAGUCAGGAAAUAAAAGAUAUAGUUAAAGAAAUGGGAUUCGGUGCCCUAACACGUCCCGGAAAUGAAUGUCUCUAUGAUGAGUAUCAUGGAUGCCUGAAAACUCUCCAGGGAAAAAUACACAUAACUCCUCACAAGGUAGCAUCUGCACUGGGUAUAAGCAACGGCGGAAUCGUUUUCCUAAAAAGUUUGAUUAUGGUAAACUGAAUCCGGAAGACAAGGCAAUAUUUGACAGCCUCAAAAAUGUUACGUUGGUGACUUUGACAAAGUCUGUCCUGAAUAUGAGUGUU